rnacentral:rRNA from 1 species
CCAGACUCCUACGGGAGGCAGUAGUGAGGAAUAUUGGUCAAUGGGCGCAAGCCUGAACCAGCCAAGUCGCGUGAGGGAUGACGGUCCUAUGGAUUGUAAACCUCUUUUGUCGGGGAGCAAGGCCCGCCACGUGUGGCGGGAAGGAGAGUACCCGAAGAAAAAGCAUCGGCUAACUCCGUGCCAGCAGCCGCGGUAAUACGGAGGAUGCGAGCGUUAUCCGGAUUUAUUGGGUUUAAAGGGUGCGUAGGCGGGCAUUUAAGCCGGCGGUCAAAUGUCGGGGCUCAACCCCGGCCUGCCGUCGGAACUGGGUGCCUUGAGUGGGCGAGAAGUAUGCGGAAUGCGUGGUGUAGCGGUGAAAUGCAUAGAUAUCACGCAGAACCCCGAUUGCGAAGGCAGCAUACCGGCGCCCUACUGACGCUGAGGCACGAAAGUGCGGGUAUCGAACAGGAUUAGAUACCCCUGUAU